rnacentral:rRNA from 1 species
UUUGAUCCUGGCUCAGGAUGAACGCUAGCGACAGGCCUAACACAUGCAAGUCGAGGGGUAACAUGAGUGCUUGCACUUGAUGACGACCGGCGCACGGGUGCGUAACGCGUAUGCAACUUACCUUGUACUGGGGAAUAGCCCGUGGAAACGCGGAUUAAUGUCCCAUAACACUACAAUUUCGCAUGGAAAAGUGGUUAAAGUUCCGACGGUACAAGAUGGGCAUGCGUGACAUUAGCUAGUUGGUGAGGUAAUGGCUCACCAAGGCGACGAUGUCUAGGGGUUCUGAGAGGAAGGUCCCCCACACUGGUACUGAGACACGGACCAGACUCCUACGGGAGGCAGCAGUGAGGAAUAUUGGUCAAUGGGCGCAAGCCUGAACCAGCCAUGUCGCGUGCAGGAAGACUGCCCUACGGGUUGUAAACUGCUUUUGUAUGGGAAGAAACGUUGGUACGUGUACCAAUUUGCCGGUACCAUACGAAUAAGGAUCGGCUAACUCCGUGCCAGCAGCCGCGGUAAUACGGAGGAUCCAAGCGUUAUCCGGAUUUAUUGGGUUUAAAGGGUGCGUAGGCGGUAGAAUAAGUCAGUGGUGAAAUCCUGCAGCUUAACUGUAGAACUGCCAUUGAUACUGUUUUACUUGAGUGUAAUUGAGGUAGGCGGAAUGUGUUGUGUAGCGGUGAAAUGCAUAGAUAUAACACAGAACACCGAUUGCGAAGGCAGCUUACUAAGUUAUAACUGACGCUGAUGCACGAAAGCGUGGGUAGCGAACAGGAUUAGAUACCCUGGUAGUCCACGCCGUAAACGAUGAUUACUCGCUGUAGGCAAUACACCGUCUGUGGCUGAGCGAAAGCAUUAAGUAAUCCACCUGGGGAGUACGUUGGCAACAAUGAAACUCAAAGGAAUUGACGGGGGCCCGCACAAGCGGAGGAACAUGUGGUUUAAUUCGAUGAUACGCGAGGAACCUUACCUGGACUUAAAUGUAGAUUGACGUAUCCAGAGAUGGAUAUCUCUUCGGACAAUUUACAAGGUGCUGCAUGGUUGUCGUCAGCUCGUGCCGUGAGGUGUCGGGUUAAGUCCCAUAACGAGCGCAACCCCUGUUGUUAGUUACCAGCACAUCAUGGUGGGGACUCUAACAAGACUGCCGGUGUAAACCGCGAGGAAGGUGGGGAUGACGUCAAAUCAGCACGGCCCUUACGUCCAGGGCUACACACGUGUUACAAUGGCCGGUACAGAGGGCAGCUACUUGGUGACAAGAUGCGAAUCUCAAAAACCGGUCUCAGUUCGGAUCGAAGUCUGCAACCCGACUUCGUGAAGCUGGAUUCGCUAGUAAUCGCAUAUCAGCCAUGAUGCGGUGAAUACGUUCCCGGGCCUUGUACACACCGCCCGUCAAACCAUGGAAGUCGAGGGUACCUGAAGUCUGUUGCCGUAAGGAGCGGCCUAGGGUAAAACUGAUAACUAGGGUUAAGUCGAAACAAGGUA